UUCCUUCAGUGGCUUGGCAUUCGAGGGCAUCAGUCUGACUCAGACUGGAGAGCAGUCAAGGUACUCUUUUCUGCUUCCUAGAAAACCCAAGGAUGACCCUGGUUUGGUAAUGGAGGAACAACCAUGUGCACUACCUUCUUGGUCAUCUCCACCUUGGUAUUUCUACUGCGUCGACACUUCUUCAACAAAGUUGAACCAGAAACAACAGAGGAAAGCAAACAAGAGGUUGGAUCAGAUUCCUCCACAAGGGAAACCAGAACUUGAGCCCUGGCUUGCAUGUGACAGUGUGUUCAGAAGUGAAUGAAAAAGCAAUGAUUAAUGCUUGACAUCAUAGUGACAUUGACAGAUGGAAAAUUCACAGCCUUUAAAAAAUUCAUAUCCUGGUUCACUAGAUCACCUUCCUGUUCAGGUCAAAAGCACUGCUGAUGCCAAAGCCUUAGUUUGCCUAAAGAACGAUUGAACUUCAUACUACUUACAGGAGCCAUCCAGAAAAAAAAAUAAUGAGGAGAAGGAAGGCAGCUAGUUGUGUUUUAAUAAUAACUCCUUAUGUGGAAGACCACCUUUCCCAACAUGGCCUUGGAAAGCAGAAGUGAGGUCAGGGCGCACUCAAGGUGCCAAAAACCUCUUUGCAGUUUUGAAAAGGCAAAGAGGAGAGGAGAUGGCAAGCAGCCGGGCAGAGGUCACCUCCAAGAUAUCAAUCAGAAACUGCCUGAAAGCCAGUGCGUCCGCAAAGGAGUGAGACGAGGCACCCUGGAAGAGGAAUUUUCCAUCGAGUGCAUUCAGGGAGCAACAUGCUGUGUGGGUUUAAUUUUCUUACAAAGAUGUUAAUACUAAAUAAAUAAAUGUUAGUCCUAUGAGCCCA